rnacentral:rRNA from 1 species
AUACGGAGGACGCGAGCGUUAUCCGGAUUUAUUGGGUUUAAAGGGUGCGCAGGCGGCCAUUUAAGUCAGCGGUUAAAUCGUGGGGCUCAACCCCAUUCUGCCGUUGAUACUGGGUGGCUUGAUUGCGGUCGAGGUUGGCGGAAUUCGUUGUGUAGCGGUGAAAUGCAUAGAUAUGACGAAGAACACCGAUUGCGUAGGCAGCUGACCAGACCGCAAAUGACGCUCAUGCACGAAAGUGCGGGGAUCGAACAGGAUUAGAUACCCUGGUAGUCCGCACAGUAAACGAUGAAUACUUGUUUUCGGCGAUAUAAUGUCGGAGGCAAAGCGAAAGCGAUAAGUAUUCCACCUGGGGAGUACGCCGGCAACGGUGAAACUCAAAGGAAUUGGCGGGG